rnacentral:tRNA from 1 species
GCCUGGCUGGUUCAGUUAUGUAGAGCAUGUGACUCUUGAUCUUGGGGUCAUGAGUUCAAGCCCCAUGUUGGGUG